rnacentral:piRNA from 1 species
AGAAUGUACAGGCAGAACACGAG